UACAGCACAUGUAUUCUCUUUGGCACAUGUAAAAUAGAAAGAAAGGUUAGGAUCUAAUUUAGUGAGAAUUAUAUUUUAAUACUUAGAAAUUAAUACAAACGGGUAAAGCAAUAGCUUUAAAUGUUGUUUUCUCUUUUCAGAGCAACUCAGUUCUAGUUGUUGUUUUACUGUUAUACAAGGAUUAUAAAAAGACAUUAUA